CUCGUACACGUCCACGUCGCACGCCGGACCUUCCAGCCUCCACCACGCAAGAAAGGCGGUCAGGAAAAGGAGCUUGAAAAAAGAUCUCUCCUCCACCUCCUCCUCCUCCUCCCCCUCCACCGGCACAGUGCGGUAGACUCUUCUCUUUGAGUAUUUGACAGACUGUGUCUGACACUCGCUUUGACUGGGUGUCAGUUUGUCAAAUACCCCAAGAGAGGGGUCAAUAUUCUCCUGGAGAUCACACCAGAGGGGUCCCCACUGGCUUCAAGAACCUACCGAAGGCCUCACCAGCUCAGAAGAGCAUAGGCCAGCGAAGGAGUUAGCCUCAGUGUUGAUUGUUUGUGUUUGUUUAUACCUCUGUGACUGUAGUCAAUCAACUUAAACAUGUUUGGUUUGCUUCUUUAGUUUUAGCACUGGAAGCUGACGUCCCACCAGUUGGCAUCAUGCACUUGCCUAGAGUUGUCAAGUAAUAUCGAAUAUCGACAAAAACAAGCAAAAAAAAAUUCUAAUAUAAUAAUAUAAUAUUGCUAACUGCACCAGCCCUGAGCAGUUGCAUGUAAAGGUUCACGUUAGGUCACAUGUUUUGUUGAAAAUAAUCAUCUUUCUGCACAUUUCAGCGCACAAUCAUACUAACAUUUAACAUACAGGGGAAAAUAUCAAAUAUAAAAUGCUAAGUUUCAUAACUUGCACAGGCAAAAGUACGAAAACUACCAAAAACUGAAUUUUACCUUUUUUUUUUCUUCUUUUUUUUAAUUAGAUAAUGUUGUUAACCGCAUUAGCCACGUAGACUUCUAUGCAAGGGUUUAAGUUAAAACUUCUGUUUUGCUUUUUUGUUGGGUUUUUUUUUUAUAAGCAUUUUUCUGUAUGUUUAAGCACAAAAUCAAACUAAAAUUUAACAUAUUAAAAAAAAAACACAAUACUAAGUUUCAUAACUUGCACAUGCUACACUACAAAAAAAAAUCUUGUCAAGUAAAAUGAUGUUAAAUCUAGUAUAUAUGUCUAAUAUUUUAAGAUGCACUUAUUACAAGUUUUUGUCAAGGUUUUUUUUUUAAAUAAUCUUUAAAUUAAGUCUUAAAUUAAGCUUGCAACAAAUCCCAACAGAGGGAAAACUAGAUUUCUUGACUAUAUUUAAGAAUAUUUUACUUGACAAGAUGCCAUUUUUGCAGUAUGGGCUGGGUUUACUUGUUUUCACUUAGAAGGCCUAAAAAUGUGGAAUUUGACCAGGGUGCCCAAAUUUUUGCUCAGCUCUAGCACUAAAACGAAAGAGGCAAAGUUCAGACAUCAAACAUGUUUUAGCCGGUCAGUUAUGUUUUGAGUAACAGGGGCAACUGGAGACUCUGUUCUGCUCUAAAGUGAUAGUUUGGUGAGUAAUCAGAGUAGACUGUAGUACUAAAGUAGAAACUUUAUAAUCUCAGGUCACUUCAUAUGUUCUGUAAACUGUAAUUUACAGUGGCAGUGUUUACACUCCGUGUUGUGUCUUUGUGUUUUUAAUAAACUGUAAAAUGUUGGUAAA